rnacentral:rRNA from 1 species
UACGUAGGUGGCAAGCGUUGUCCGGAUUUACCGGGCGUAAAGAGCGCGCAGGCGGUCAGAUAAGUCGAAUGUGAAAGCCCCCGGCUCAACUGGGGAGGGUCAUUCGAUACUGUUCGACUCGAAGGCAGGAGAGGGAAGUGGAAUUCCCGGUGUAGUGGUGAAAUGCGUAGAUAUCGGGAGGAACACCAGUGGCGAAGGCGACUUCCUGGCCUGUUCUUGACGCUGAGGCGCGAAAGCUAGGGGAGCAAACGGG